GACGAACGCUGGCGGCGUGCUUAACACAUGCCAGUCGAACGGAAAGGCCCUGCUUUUGUGGGGUGCUCGAGUGGCGAACGGGUGAGUAACACGUGAGUAACCUGCCCUUGACUUUGGGAUAACUUCAGGAAACUGGGGCUAAUACCGGAUAGGAGCUCCUGCUGCAUGGUGGGGGUUGGAAAGUUUCGGCGGUUGGGGAUGGACUCGCGGCUUAUCAGCUUGUUGGUGGGGUAGUGGCUUACCAAGGCUUUGACGGGUAGCCGGCCUGAGAGGGUGACCGGCCACAUUGGGACUGAGAUACGGCCCAGACUACUACGGGAGGCAGCAGUGGGGAAUAUUGCACAAUGGGCGGAAGCCUGAUGCAGCAACGCCGCGUGCGGGAUGACGGCCUUCGGGUUGUAAACCGCUGUCGCCUGUGACGAAGCGUGAGUGACGGUAAUGGGUAAAGAAGCACCGGCUAACUACGUG
rnacentral:rRNA from 1 species